UACGUAGGGGGCAAGCGUUGUCCGGAUUUAUUGGGCGUAAAGCGUGCGUAGGCGGCUGCGCAAGUCGGGUGUGAAACCCCGGGGCUCAACCCCGGAAACUGCAUCCGAUACUGCGUGGCUAGAGGUAGGUAGGGGAGAUCGGAAUUCCUGGUGUAGCGGUGAAAUACGCAGAUAUCGGGAGGAACACCAAUGGCGAAGGCAGCUCGCUGGGACGGUACUGACGCUGAGACGGCGAAAAGCGUGGGGAGCAAA
rnacentral:rRNA from 1 species